CUGUCCGUAGUUAGAGCCAAGCCCUGCACUCCGAAGGCAGAGUCCAGAGGUUCGAAUCCUCUCGGGUGCACCA
rnacentral:tRNA from 1 species